rnacentral:rRNA from 1 species
UACGUAGGGUGCGAGCGUUGUCCGGAAUUAUUGGGCGUAAAGGGCUCGUAGGCGGUCUGUCGCGUCGAAAGUGAAAACUCAGGGCUUAACCCUGAGCCUGCUUCCGAUACGGGCAGACUAGAGGUAUGCAGGGGAGAACGGAAUUCCUGGUGUAGCGGUGAAAUGCGCAGAUAUCAGGAGGAACACCGGUGGCGAAGGCGGUUCUCUGGGCCGAUACUGACGCUGAGGAGCGAAAGCGUGGGGAGCGAACAGG